CCCUUAGAUGUUCUGGGCUGCACGCGCGCUACACUGAAGCUAUCAACACGUUUUCCCUCCCUGAGAAGGGCGGGUAACCUUUUGAAUCAGCUUCGUGGUAGGGAUCGGGGCUUGCAAUUGUUCCCCGUGAACCAGGAAUUCCUAGUAGACGCGAGUCAUAAGCUCGCAUCGAUUAGGUCCCUGCCCUUUGUACACACCGCCCGUCGCUACUACCGAUUGAACGUUUUAGUGAGGCAUUUGGACCGACGCAUCUCAGUUUAACCGCUGGUUUGUGUUGGAAAGACUUCCAAACUUGAGCGUUUAGAGGAAGUAAAAGUCGUAACA
rnacentral:rRNA from 1 species